rnacentral:rRNA from 1 species
GAUGAACGCUGGCGGCGUGCCUAAUACAUGCAAGUCGAGCGAAUGGAUUAAGAGCUUGCUCUUAUGAAGUUAGCGGCGGACGGGUGAGUAACACGUGGGUAACCUGCCCAUAAGACUGGGAUAACUCCGGGAAACCGGGGCUAAUACCGGAUAACAUUUUGAACCGCAUGGUUCGAAAUUGAAAGGCGGCUUCGGCUGUCACUUAUGGAUGGACCCGCGUCGCAUUAGCUAGUUGGUGAGGUAACGGCGCACCAAGGCAACGAUGCGUAGCCGACCUGAGAGGGUGAUCGGCCACACUGGGACUGAGACACGGCCCAGCCUCCUACGGGAGGCAGCAGUAGGGAAUCUUCCGCAAUGGACGAAAGUCUGACGGAGCAACGCCGCGUGAGUGAUGAAGGCUUUCGGGUCGUAAAACUCUGUUGUUAGGGAAGAACAAGUGCUAGUUGAAUAAGCUGGCACCUUGACGGUACCUAACCAGAAAGCCACGGCUAACUACGUGCCAGCAGCCGCCGUAA